AUUUCCUUUCCCAUUUCCCUUCCUAUCGACUUUAGCGCAACGAACGGAGAUAAGAGAAAGAGCCGAGUCGCCGUACGUGUGGACAGGGGAGCGGGCCGACUGCAAUCCUAUCCGUUCGGAGAGCGGAUGAAGAGUUGUAGGGCUGCUGAAGGUAAUCAGAUGCCCCUUAUUCGUCUUAUGCUUCUAGUUUUAAAUUGCUAGCUAUUAAUUCUGAGAUGUCUAAUGGGCGUUCUUCAAGAUUUCGUUUUUUCCCCUUUUUUGUUUGAAAAAAUGGAUUCCUUGUAUUAAGAAGAGAUUACUUCGGAUGCUCAAUUCUGAAGCAAAAUACGACUUCAAGAUUUCGGUAUUUUAUCUUCUUUUAUUUUCUUUCUU
rnacentral:lncRNA from 1 species